rnacentral:rRNA from 1 species
AAUUAUCCUCAUAAGUUUGACAAUAAGAGAAACCAUCAAAAUUAAAUUAAGAAUAAUUUAAAUAAUAAUAUGGUAUAAUAAAAUCGGAGGCCACGACUGUUUACUAAAAACAUAAUUCAGAGCAAUAAUUAAGAUAAUAGUAUUCUGGAUGAAAUUUGCUCAAUGCCAUUAAUAUAAGAAAGGUAAUUUAAAAGUUACUAAUUGAAAGUCUGGUUAAUAGCGGUCUUAACUAUGAGGAUCCUAAGGUAGCAAAAUCAAUUGGCCAUUAAAUGUGGUCUUGUAUCAAUAAUGUAACGAUGGUCUCACUGUCUCUACAACUUGCUCAGUGAAAUUGAAUUGUGAGUGCAGAUGCUCACUGUCUUCAGAGGGACGGGAAGACCCUAU